AUUGAACGCUGGCGGCAUGCCUUACACAUGCAAGUCGAACGGUAACAGGUCUUCGGAUGCUGACGAGUGGCGAACGGGUGAGUAAUACAUCGGAACGUGCCUAGUAGUGGGGGAUAACUACUCGAAAGAGUGGCUAAUACCGCAUGAGAUCUACGGAUGAAAGCAGGGGAUCGCAAGACCUUGUGCUACUAGAGCGGCCGAUGGCAGAUUAGGUAGUUGGUGGGAUAAAAGCUUACCAAGCCGACGAUCUGUAGCUGGUCUGAGAGGACGAUCAGCCACGCUGGGACUGAGACACGGCCCAGACUCCUACGGGAGGCAGCAGUGGGGAAUUUUGGACAAUGGGCGCAAGCCUGAGCCAGCAAUGCCGCGUGCAGGAUGAAGGCCUUCGGGUUGUAAACUGCUUUUGUACGGAACGAAAAGCCCUGGGUUAAUACCCUGGGGUCAUGACGGUACCGUAAGAAUAAGCACCGGCUAACUACGUGCCAGCCGCCGCCGUAAUAC
rnacentral:rRNA from 1 species